rnacentral:lncRNA from 1 species
AACCCUAGAGCACUACUCCCUACUUUAUAAAUAACACUCCCUCUCCUCAUCCCAGAGACAUCAAGUAAAGCCUUAUACCCUAGCCUCUUCCUCUCAUCUCGUCUCCCCUUCCACCUAGCUUCCUCAUGCCAUCAUCAAGCCUUCUUCCUUCCUCCACCAAUCCAAGCCUCCUUCUCCAACUCAUCCUCUACCAAAGAGUGGCCAAGGGAUCUUCUUCAAGUGCAAGCAUGCAAAAAAUUUCAGCAAGCAAGAUCUACAACAUGAGCAGCUAGAGUCAUCAAUCUUAGGAGAUAGAUGAAGUCCUGUAGUGAAGAGUCUUUUGCUUAUUUUUCAUAUCUAUUUUAUAUCUCUUUUCUAUGCAAUAAAUCAAUUUUUUUUAAAGAGUAAUC